CUUAAUAAGAAAGAUCCUCCAAGGUGGAAUAAAUUCCUUCAGCUUUCUCUCUCCAAUAAAGACACAUCGAUCGAAAUUUCCUCGCACUCCAGACAGUACAUUAUAAACAGCAUUAGUUUAUAUUAAGGAAAAAUCCAAUUGUACAGAAAAAUUAUCUAUAGAAACCUAGCAAACACUCACAUGGGGGUGGACCCCAUGUGAAUUAAAAUAUUGCAAAAUAUAAUCCACCCACCUCUACAUAUGUGUAUUCUGUGUUGUUUCUGUAGAGAAUUUUUCCGUACAUGUAGCUUU
rnacentral:lncRNA from 1 species